rnacentral:tRNA from 1 species
GGGGCGUUAGCUCAGCUGGUAGAGCAGCGGACUCUUAAUCCGUAGGUCGUAGGUUCGACCCCUACACGCCCCACCA